CAGGCGGUUUGUAAGUUUGUCGUGAAAGUCCGGCUCACCUGGGAAUGCGAUGAAGACUGCAAGCUGAAUCUGCAGAGGGGGGGUAGAAUUCACGUGUAGCAGUGAAAUGCGUAGAGAUGUGGAGGAACACCGAUGGCGAAGGCAGCCCCCUGGGUCAAGAUUGACGCUCAUGCACGAAAGCGUGGGGAGCAAACAGGAUUAGAUACCCUGUAGUCCACGCCCUAAACGAUGUCUACUAGUUGUCGGGUUUUAAUUAACUUGGUAACGCAGCUAACGCGUGAAGUAGACCGCCUGGGGAGUACGGUCGCAAGAUUAAAACUCAAAGGAAUUGACGGGGACCCGCACAAGCGGUGGAUGAUGUGGAUUAAUUCGAUGCAACGCGAAAAACCUUACCUACCCUUGACAUGUACGGAAGGCCGGAGAGAUUUGGCUGUGCUCGAAAGAGAACCGUAACACAGGUGCUGCAUGGCUGUCGUCAGCUCGUGUCGUGAGAUGUUGGGUUAAGUCCCGCAACGAGCGCAACCCUUGUCAUUAGUUGCUACGAAAGGGCACUCUAAUGAGACUGCCGGUGACAAACCGGAGGAAGGUGGGGAUGACGUCAAGUCCUCAUGGCCCUUAUGGGUAGGGCUUCACACGUCAUACAAUGGUACAUACAGAGCGCCGCCAACCCGCGAGGGGGAGCUAAUCGCAGAAAGUGUAUCGUAGUCCGGAUUGUAGUCUGCAACUCGACUACAUGAAGUUGGAAUCGCUAGUAAUCGCGGAUCAGCAUGUCGCGGUGAAUACGUUCCCGGGUCUUGCACACACCGCCCGUC
rnacentral:rRNA from 1 species